GGGGAUAUGGCGAAAUCGGUAGACGCUACGGACUUAAAAUCCGUCGAUUCAAUUCGUGAGGGUUCAAGUCCCUCUAUCCCCA
rnacentral:tRNA from 1 species